CACAAGCGGUGGAGCAUGUGGUUUAAUUCGAUGAUACGCGAGGAACCUUACCUGGGCUCAAAUGUAUGUUGACGUAUUCUGAAAGGGAUACUUCUUCGGACAAUAUACAAGGUGCUGCAUGGUUGUCGUCAGCUCGUGCCGUGAGGUGUCGGGUUAAGUCCCAUAACGAGCGCAACCCUUACCUUUAGUUGCCAUCAGGUAAUGCUGGGGACUCUAAAGGAACUGCCUACGCAAGUAGUGAGGAAGGCGGGGAUGACGUCAAAUCAGCACGGCCCUUACGUCCAGGGCUACACACGUGCUACAAUGGCCGAUACAGAGGGCAGCUACCUGGUGACAGGAUGCAAAUCUCCAAAGUCGGUCUCAGUUCGGAUCGGAGUCUGCAACCCGACUCCGUGAAGUUGGAUUCGCUAGUAAUCGCGCAUCAGCCAUGGCGCGGUGAAUACGUUCCCGGGCCUU
rnacentral:rRNA from 1 species